GAUUAUGGCUCAGGACGAACGCUGGCGGCGUGCUUAACACAUGCAAGUCGAACGGAACAUCCUUGACAGAGGUUUCGGCCAAUGAAGAGGAAUGUUUAGUGGCGGACUGGUGAGUAACGCGUGAGGAACCUGCCUUUCAGAGGGGGACAACAGUUGGAAACGACUGCUAAUACCGCAUGAAGCAGCGAGGGGACAUCCCCUUGCUGUCAAAGAUUUAUCGCUGAAAGAUGGCCUCGCGUCUGAUUAGCUAGUUGGUGGGGUAACGGCCCACCAAGGCGACGAUCAGUAGCCGGACUGAGAGGUUGACCGGCCACAUUGGGACUGAGAUACGGCCCAGACUCCUACGGGAGGCAGCAGUGGGGAAUAUUGGGCAAUGGACGCCAAGUCUGACCCAGCAACGCCGCGUGAAGGAAGAAGGCUUUCGGGUUGUAAACUUCUUUUAACAGGGAAGAGAAGAAGACGGUACCUGUUGAAUAAGCCACGGCUAACUACGUGCCAGCCGCUGC
rnacentral:rRNA from 1 species